rnacentral:lncRNA from 1 species
UAGGGUUGUUGAGAAGAUUAAAUCAGUCAAUAUAUGUAAUGCCUUUAGAACACUGCUCUGCAAAUAGCAAGCACUAUGUACAUGCUAUUUUAUUAGUGGCAUCGGAAAACUGAUUCGGAUCAACAACUUCAUUUUGAAGCUAGCUCUGCAUGACAGCAUUGAAUACAAAUAUCACUGAUGAUGAUGAAUGGAUUGAGGAAUGCGGAAUGCAUUGUACUAAAAGGGUCCAGAAAUUGCCACAAGUCUCUUUUUGAGUCUCAGAGAAGCAAGGCCAUCAUGUAUAAGCCAGGGUUGCUGAGCAUUGGAGGUGACCCAGUAUUAGAGUAUAUGAUUCUUCAUUUGCUACAAGAGAACACCUCAUCUGGGUCACCAACAGCUUUCUGACGAAUGCUGAGGAAAUUGUGUGCAACUAAUUCCUACAACGAGAAUCCCGUACCCACUGUGAUGGGUGAUCUGUUUGCUCAAGACAGAGGAGCCCAUUAAGCAAGCAUCACGUAUGACCUGUUACCGGGGUUUAGACACCAUCUGCAGCCUGGCUUGCUGCCCAUUGCACGUUGUGGCCGUGAAUCAACAUUGUGACAGAGAGGGCACUGGGUCAGCUACAUUCCAUUAAUGGAUCAAAGUGUUUCAUUUAGAUUCCUACAGCAAAGGAGAAGGAAUAUGGAUGAUAUGUAGCCUGGGAUGGACAAAAGCUUAGUUGGCAGAAACAGACAUAUAGAAUUUUUUAAUGUAAAUCUGACAAAGCCAAAGUCCCUGAUGAAUUUACACAACAUGGUUGCCAUAAUUAAGUCUUCCAACCAAUUGGUUCUCAAUAUUUUUCUCACCACUAUUCAAGGAGGCCACAGGUGCUAUUAGGGGCUAUCAGGACUUUUAAAAUCCCCAUCAGGUGAUUCUGUUGGUACUUACCAUCUCAGUAGAGCAGCUCAUUUUACUCUAUAGGCCAAAAACUUUACCAUAAUAAUU